UACAGAGGUCCCAAGCGUUGUUCGGAUUCAUUGGGCGUAAAGAGCUCGUAGGCGGCUUGGUAAGUCGGAUGUGAAACCUCCAGGCUCAACCUGGAGUCGCCAUCCGAUACUGCCAUGGCUAGAGUCCGGUAGGGGCCCACGGAAUUCCUGGUGUAGCGGUGAAAUGCGCAGAUAUCAGGAGGAACACCGAUGGCGAAGGCAGUGGGCUGGGCCGGCACUGACGCUGAGGAGCGAAAGCGUGGGGAGCGAACAGG
rnacentral:rRNA from 1 species